rnacentral:rRNA from 1 species
AGCAGUCGCCGCGGGAAUACGAAGGGGGCUAGCGUUGCUCGGAAUGACUGGGCGUAAAGGGCGCGUAGGCGGUUUUGACAGUCAGAUGUGAAAUUCCUGGGCUUAACCUGGGGGCUGCAUUUGAGACGUCAAGACUAGAGUGUGAGAGAGGGUUGUGGAAUUCCCAGUGUAGAGGUGAAAUUCGUAGAUAUUGGGAAGAACACCGGUGGCGAAGGCGGCAACCUGGCUCAUUACUGACGCUGAGGCGCGAAAGCGUGGGGAGCAAACAGGAUUAGAUACCCGAGUAGUCCCUGUCUCUUAUAA